rnacentral:misc_RNA from 1 species
UACUACUUCCCCUAUCAAUCAAGCAGAGGUAGGAAGAGUGAGGUGUGUGAGAGGAAAUAAGUGUAUGGUGAGCUUGAUUAUAAAAGUUAUUUUGAUACUUGAUAAUAAAAAUUCAACAGCUGCUUGCUCGAUUGGCUCAUGAGUAUGGACCAGAGGUUGACUGAGGCGGCUCCAAUACGAGAUAUUGGUGAGAGAUUGAGGCAGGCCGCUCGAGCAGGAGAUAUUGACGCGUUGUAUGCUCUAAUCCGUGAAGAUGCUCGUGUUUUG